rnacentral:rRNA from 1 species
GUGGGGAAUCUUCCGCAAUGGACGAAAGUCUGACGGAGCGACGCCGCGUGAGUGAAGAAGGCCUUCGGGUCGUAAAGCUCUGUCAUCAGGGACGAACGGCCGGUGGAGUGGAAAGCCACCGGAUUGACGGUACCUGAGAAGGAAGCCACGGCUAACUACGUGCCAGCAGCCGCGGUAAUACGUAGGUGGCAAGCGUUGUCCGGAAUUAUUGGGCGUAAAGCGCGCGCAGGUGGGAUCUUAAGUCCAUUUUUAAAGUUCGGAGCUCAACUCCGUGAUGGGAUGGAAACUGGGAUUCUUGAGUACCGGAGAGGAAAGCGGAAUUCCCCGUGUAGCGGUGAAAUGCGUAGAUAUGGGGAGGAACACCAGUGGCGAAGGCGGCUUUCUGGACGGUGUCUGACACUGAGGCGCGAAAGCCAGGGGAGCGAACGGGAUUAGAUACCCCAGUAGUC